CCUCGAGUGCGGCCUAUAAAUAAACCUCCUUCCUGGCAGCUUCCUCGAAGCCCCUUGCUCUCUUUCCUGGCAGCUUCGUCCUCCCCUGUCUCACUCAGUUCGAUUCCUUUUUCUCUUUUAUCAGAGUUUAGAAGCCGAUGAUUUAGACGCUUGAAUCUCUCACCGUUCUUUUAUACAUAUGCUAUCGCUCGAUUUGUGUAGACUUUUGCAAGGGUUCGUGCGAUCGAUUGAUGAUGUAUGUUGUCUUUUUGUUUUUGCUUUAACGAAGUUUAUGUUUAAGUGGAGCUAUUUACCAUUUGAACCCAUCAUUUCAUCAUUGAAACAUGUUGCCUAUAAUGAAGGCAAAACUUUCGCUCCCCAGACCCUACAAUUUCAAUGUUGAUGAUGUUCAUCGGCAAUCGUAAGAUUUCUAGAGAGUUGAAGCAAGUGAUCGCGCGAUGAUAGCCCGUUGCUCCAUAUUUCAUAUACUUUAACAACUGUUUGCAUAUUAAUCAAUAUAUUGGUUUUUUUAAUGAAUUAAUGUUUAUUUAUGGCUAUAUAUUCCAUCGUCUUCGUGAUAAA